AUUUUCAGUCAAUUUUAACAGACCAAGACACUAAAAGCUAUGUCCUUCAAACCUAAAGGAUUUGGCGGUAAUUUAGUCCAGUUAGAGGAACCUGUUAGAUAAACGAUAAACCACGAAAAAUCUUACCCAUUUUCAUAGUUUGUAUACCGUCAUUAUUAGAUAACUUUUAAUGAAAAAGUUAUUUCAAUAAAUUCAAUUUAGUAUAUUAGAUCAAGGUGCAGCCAAUAAGUGGGUCUCAAUGGGUUACAAUAAAACUUAUUUAUUUACGAAAAUAAAAUAUAAUUACUUUAUUGAAGGAGGAUUUAAUAGUAAAAUUAGUUUAAUAAGCUUUUUUGAUAGUGGAUCUAAAUUGAGUACAUAUCGCCCGUCGCUUCCAUCCUACAAAUGGAAUAAGUCGUAACAUAG
rnacentral:rRNA from 1 species